GGAGGGUGCAAGCGUUAUCCGGAUUUACUGGGUUUAAAGGGUGCGCAGGCGGAUAUGUAAGUCAGUGGUGAAAUCUCCAGGCUUAACCUGGAAAUUGCCGUUGAUACUAUAUAUCUUGAAUGCUGUGGAGGUAAGCGGAAUAUGUCAUGUAGCGGUGAAAUGCUUAGAUAUGACAUAGAACACCUAUUGCGAAGGCAGCUUACUACGCAGAUAUUGACGCUCAUGCACGAAAGCGUGGGGAUCAAACAGGAUUAGAUACCCUGGUAGUCCACGCCCUAAACGAUGAUUACUCGACAUACGCGAUACACAGUGUGUGUCUGAGCGAAAGCAUUAAGUAAUCCACCUGGGAAGUACGACCGCAAGGUUGAA
rnacentral:rRNA from 1 species